rnacentral:lncRNA from 1 species
GCACUGACCUGUUGCCGGCGGCUAAACAGCACACCUGCCUAAGCAUCAGUCACAGAGUGGGUCAUCAUUAUAACACUGGACGGAUAUGACAGGAGUGAAGCGGGAGUGGAGGAGUGGCUCUCUGAGAGUUUGUUUAUAGUGAAGGAGGCGCGGAAAACACACGCGACUCGCUGCGCAUCUUCACACGACUCACCUCACCGACAUUACGACAGAAACUGGGAUAAAACCAGCAGCUACGAGGAAAACGACGCGGAAAUAACACUCGCACUACGAAGGUGAUGUGACAUAGAAGACAUCCUGUACAGUCAGACUACAGGAAGCUGGAGAUGAGGAUUGGGGGAUUGUGGAGGACUGGGCCAUACAGUCCCCUGCUGCUCUUUCUGCUCCACUCGCUGCUGCCUCUUAUACGGCCCAGUAAUGCUGGAAACCAGAAUAUACCACGACUGCAGCUCUCUCAUACAGAACUGAGGUCGAGGACCAGCUCUGCUGUGUUCUGGGAUGGUGGAGAGGGGGGAGCGUACCAGGCCUUACUGCUUGAUGAGGACCGCGGAUGGCUGCUGGUCGGAGGCCGAGACCACAUCUACAUGCUAAACUCUGACAGCUUCACCCAACCGGCACGCAAGGUCAGCGCGCACAACUACCACCAUCUGACAGCGCAUGAUGUCACUUACCGAUCACGAGGAUAAGGGUCACUAAAGUGAAAACAGGCCAUGACUACAAUGUUUUACUGUUCACAAGAAUCUGUAGAUCUGUAAUGCUGUUUUCAUGGCCUCUCUGAAGUUACAGGAUUGCAGUCUUAAAACUGCUCCACCA